UGGGGAAUAUUGCACAAUGGGCGGAAGCCUGAUGCAGCGACGCCGCGUGGGGGAUGAAGGCCUUCGGGUUGUAAACUCCUUUCGACAGGGACGAAGCUUUUGUGACGGUACUUGUAUAAGAAGCACCGGCUAACUACGUGCCAGCAGCCGCGGUAAUACGUAGGGUGCGAGCGUUGUCCGGAAUUACUGGGCGUAAAGAGCUCGUAGGUGGUUUGUCGCGUCGUCUGUGAAAUUCCGGGGCUUAACUCCGGGCGUGCAGGCGAUACGGGCUGACUUGAGUGCUGUAGGGGAGACUGGAAUUCCUGGUGUAGCGGUGAAAUGCGCAGAUAUCAGGAGGAACACCGAUGGCGAAGGCAGGUCUCUGGGCAGUAACUGACGCUGAGGAGCGAAAGCAUGGGUAGCGAACAGGAUUAGAUACCCUGGUAGUCCAUGCCGUAAACGGUGGGCGCUAGGUGUAGGGGGCUUCCACGUCUUCUGUGCCGUAGCUAACGCAUUAAGCGCCCCGCCUGGGGAGUACGGCCGCAAGGCUA
rnacentral:rRNA from 1 species